AUUGAACGCUGGCGGCAGGCCUAACACAUGCAAGUCGGACGGUAGCACAGAGAGCUUGCUCUCGGGUGACGAGUGGCGGACGGGUGAGUAAUGUCUGGGGAUCUGCCCGAUAGAGGGGGAUAACCACUGGAAACGGUGGCUAAUACCGCAUAACGUCGCAAGACCAAAGAGGGGGACCUUCGGGCCUCUCACUAUCGGAUGAACCCAGAUGGGAUUAGCUAGUAGGCGGGGUAAUGGCCCACCUAGGCGACGAUCCCUAGCUGGUCUGAGAGGAUGACCAGCCACACUGGAACUGAGACGCGGUCCAGACUCCUACGGGAGGCAGCAGUGGGGAGUAUUGCACAAUGGGCGCAAGCCUGAUGCAGCCAUGCCGCGUGUAUGAAGAAGGCCUUCGGGUUGUAAAGUACUUUCAGCGGGGAGGAAGGCGGUGCGGUUAAUAACCGCGCCGAUUGACGUUACCCGCAGAAGAAGCACCGGCUAACUCCGUGCCAGCCGCCGCGGUAA
rnacentral:rRNA from 1 species